UACGUAGGGGCCUAGCGUUGUCCGGAUUUAUUGGGCGUAAAGAGCUCGUAGGCGGUUUGGUGAGUCGGGUGUGAAAUCUCCACGCUCAACGUGGAGGGGCCACCCGAUACUGCCAUGACUAGAGUCCGGUAGGGGAGUGUGGAAUUCCCGGUGUAGCGGUGAAAUGCGCAGAUAUCGGGAGGAACACCAGUAGCGAAGGCGGAUCUCUGGGCCUUACCUGACGCUCAGGUGCGAAAGCUAGGGGAGCGAACAGG
rnacentral:rRNA from 1 species